AGAGGACACUACACUACACCCACAUGCAUUGUUUCUGUCUCACAAAUGUAAAACAUAGCAAAAACUGUUUCACGGGGAAAAGAACCAAAAAAGUUACAGCUAUAACUAAGUAACCAAAUUUUCAUUUUGAACAGAGGAGAAUUUUUCAGUGUCUCUACUAGAACUACAGACUUAGUGGUUCUAUCCCGCGCAUUACAGUUUUGGCUAUGUUGUACGUUUGUAAGACAGAGACAACGCAUACGAGUGUAACGUCCUCUUAAAUUUUAAAUCAUCAGGUCAUCUACAGCUGUCUAUAUUCUAUAAUAUUAACUGUUUUUCGUACAACUAUUUUUCCACCAUCGUUCUUGACUCGUUGAAAUACAUAGAUAGUAUGUUCAGUUUCAGUAUGUAUCAACAGAAAUUAGGUAGGUACUAAAAAACACCUCGUGGUAGCUAAAGUGCAACUAUACUACUAUUUUCUACAGAGAUGAGAAAUUUAAGUUGACGGAGCAGUUAACCAACAUAUUCGGAAAGCCAAGAAAAUUCGGUAAGCGAUGGAAAUAAUUCCAGAGUGCACACGGCAUUUGGUCAUGUAUACUUCAAAGCUCCUGACAAGUUAAAGUGAAUUUUUUCCGCAGUACAAAUGAACAGCGAGCUCGCCGAGCUCGGUGUCCAUGAAUCGUUUUAAAUUUUUUUUGGCAUGAUAUUUUGAAAACCAUGAAGAUUUCCGACGAAACCACUAAGGUCUUAUACCUUUCAAACUUAUUUUACUUGGCGCUCGAAAUGUAAGCGAUAAUAGCAUUAAUUAUAUUAAAAACAACAAUUUGUUUUUUUUUCAAACGAUAGUAAUAUCGUUAAACUGAAAGUCACUUUUUAUGCAUAUAAAAACCUUAAAAACCAAUCUUAAAAUAACCCAAAAACUCAAAAUUCUUUGGGUUAUGUAGGUACAUAGCUUAUAGCAUUGAUCAUGACGAAAUCUAUCAUGGCAUUGAUUAUAAUUAUAAAUUAUACAAUUUUUUUGUUUAUAGUAUGUUAGUACUUAUUUAUAAUCAAUGCUUAUAUAGGUGUGGUUAAGGAUAUAUGCUGCAGAUACAGUACCUAUACCUAUUACCUAGUACCUCACAAACGCGCAAAAUACACUUGAGACAAAACCGCACACAUAUUUUAAAAUACUGGAUAUCCCAUUACCGCCACGUAUAUUUUGGACAAUUAUCGUCGCUUAUCGACAAUAAUCUAUAACGACAUUAUUAAGCUAAGAAGGGGACUGAAGCAAUACAGCGGAAAUGUAAUCGAGAACGAGAAGCCAAUUUGGUAUUUCAGUACCUCACUUUUCUUAAGAAACAAACUGACUAUAAUGGAAUAUAUAAAAAAAAAAACAAAUUUAAAUUUUAAAUCAAUAUAGAUGCCUACAAUAUUCAUUUUGAUUACUAUUACUAUACUAUUGCUAUAUAUUAUGACUAUAUUAGAUUCUAUUUUUAAUUAUUUAAUUCUAUGUAAUGUUUUUUUAAAUUUUUAUAUUUAAUAAAUGUAUGCGGUAUCGUACUAUUUGUUGUGUGCGGAAUUAGACUAUGCCUUUUUAUAAAUCUGUGCGGUAUCGUACUAUUUUUGUGUGCGGUAUAUUGGGUCAUGUUUGUGCGGUAAUGGAAAACGCCGCAAUUGACAUACCUAUAUAGAAUUUCACCAUUUGAAGAAUACAAUCAAAGGUAGUACGUAAAGUCAAAAGAAUAGUCGCAUAGAAUGGGAGUGGGGAUUAACGCGGAAUUUUGUUAAGCCUCUCCCUCAUAGGUUAGGUUAACCUAACCUAACUAUACCUAGAUGGAUUUAAAAUUGAAUUACAUCUUUACCACUGAGUAUCUUUUUAGUCGCAUUUAGGUAUUAAAAUAACAAUAAUUUAAAAGAUAAAAUUAUUAAAAAAAAUACACACUAAGACCCGUAUCGUAUUCUUAAAAUUAAAAAUUUUAAAAAAAUAUAAAAAUCGAGAAAAUGUAUAUGCAGGAUAUGAGUAUUGGACCGGCUACAAAAUUCGUACACGUUGUAUUCGCGUCCAGGAGAUAGAUAACUGAUAUUUUGCUGUUAUGUUUAUAAUAAGUUCUACCGAUUAUACAUUUUCGUCGUCAGAAUAUAGUUUUGAUUUUGUACACACUAGGUACUCAUCAUUCAUUCAUACAAAGAAAAUUAUUUUCGUACCAUUUAAUAACAAUAAUAAAAAUAUUAGUUCAAUAAUUUGUAUGUAAUUGUUUCUAAUACAUGAUUUUAAAACAAUUUAAAUAAAUUUUAUUUUGAGAAUAACUAGAACAAGAAACACUAAUAUGUGGAACGUGCAACGGG